rnacentral:rRNA from 1 species
UGGGAAUAUUGGAUAAUGGGGGAAACCCUGAUCCAGCAAUGCCGCGUGAAUGAUGAAGGCCUUCGGGUCGUAAAGUUCUUUAGCAGGGAAGAAGGGAAACUUGACUGUACCUGCAGAAAAAGCACCGGCUAACUCCGUGCCAGCAGCCGCGGUAAUACGGAGGGUGCAAGCGUUGUUCGGAAUUAUUGGGCGUAAAGCGCGUGUAGGCGGCUUGAUAAGUCUGGUGUGAAAGCCCGAGGCUUAACCUCGGAAGUGCACUGGAUACUAUCUAGCUAGAGGGUCGGAGAGGGAAGCGGAAUUCUUGGUGUAGGGGUGAAAUCCGUAGAUAUCAAGAGGAACACCGAUGGCGAAGGCAGCUUCCUGGCCGACAUCUGACGCUGAGACGCGAAAGCGUGGGUAGCAAAC